rnacentral:rRNA from 1 species
UACAACAUAGCGUUAAUGAAUCGGAUCCCAUUAGAAAUUUGCAUUUAAGCGCACGCUCAAGCUAGAGUAGUACUAGGUUGGGUGACCGCUCAAGAAGUCCUAGUGUUUUAC